AUGUCAUGAUGAGGACAUCUCCUAAGUAACUCCUUAAAUCUUUCCUAAGCCUCAUAUAAGCUUUCAUCUUCGAGUUAAUGAAAAGAAAUGAUCUCAUUCCACAACUU
rfam:Citrus clementina cultivar Clemenules unplaced genomic scaffold scaffold_7, whole genome shotgun sequence.